UUUAACUGAGCGUUCAGUUACUUGACGUAGACCCGAAACCGGGCGACCUACCCAUGAGCAGGAUGAAGCGAAAGUAAAAUUUCGUGGAGGUCCGAACCCACGAGCGUUGAAAAGCUCGGGGAUGACUUGUGGGUAGCGGUGAAAUUCCAAUCGAGCCCGGAGAUAGCUGGUUCUCCCCGAAAUAGCUUUAGGGCUAGCCUCAAGGUGAGAGAUACGGAGGUAGAGCACUGAAUGUCCUAGGGGGUAUUGCACCUACCGAAGACUAUCAAACUCCGAAUGCCGUCAUCUUAUACUUGGGAGUCAGACUGUGGGUGAUAAGAUUCAUAGUCGAAAGGGCAACAGCCCAGAUCGUCAGCUAAGGUCCCUAAAUGUAAGUUAAGUGGUAAAGGAUGUGGGAUUGCACAGACAACCAGGAUGUUGGCUUAGAAGCAGCCACUCAUUCAAAGAGUGCGUAAUAGCUCACUGGUCGAGUGAUCCUGCGCCGAAGAUUUCCGGGGCUAAAACUUACUACCGAAGCUACGGCAUCAGUAAUGAUGGGUAGGGGAGCUUCCCAUACGGGUUGAAGCAUGACCGUAAGGA
rnacentral:rRNA from 1 species